UACGUAGGUGGCGAGCGUUGUCCGGAAUUAUUGGGCGUAAAGGGAGCGCAGGUGGGAAAGUAAGUCUGCUUUAAAAGUUCGGGGCUCAACCCCGUGAUGGAGUUGAAACUACUUUUCUUGAGUGCAGGAGAGGAAAGCGGAACUCCUAGUGUAGCGGUGAAAUGCGUAGAUAUUAGGAGGAACACCAGUGGCGAAGGCGGCUUUCUGGACUGUAACUGACACUGAGGCUCGAAAGCCAGGGGAGCGAACGGG
rnacentral:rRNA from 1 species